rnacentral:rRNA from 1 species
AUGGAGCGGGUGGCGCUGCUCCGCACCUCCGGCCGCCGCCUCCUCCAGCGCUGCGGCAGGCCCAGGCCCCUCGUGCCCGCCGCCUCCUCCUCCGCGCCGCGUCGCCGGUUGACCUCCUCCUCGUCGGCGGCAUCGUCCUGCUCCUCCUCGUCGCGCGGCGGCUCGUCCUGCCUCCUGGCCGCGGCCGCGCCGCUGCACCUGCACGCCGCGGGGCGGUACUGGCCGCUCACCGCGCCCGGCUUCGCGAGGCGUCUCUCCGUCCCCGCCGUCUCCACCUCGCCCUCCCCUGUGCCCAGUGCAGACACCGAUGAUGUCCAUGAGUAUGCGGCAAAGCUAGGCUUCGAAAAGGUAUCUGAACAAGUCAUAGACGAGUGCAAAUCAGCUGCUGUUCUCUACAAGCACAAGAAGACAGGCGCAGAAGUGAUGUCCGUGGCAAACGAUGAUGAGAAUAAAGUGUUCGGCAUUGUAUUCCGUACCCCUCCGAAAAAUUCGACCGGCAUACCUCACAUUCUUGAGCAUAGUGUUCUCUGUGGAUCAAGAAAGUACCCUUUGAAAGAGCCAUUUGUUGAGCUCUUAAAGGGUAGUCUGCAUACUUUCCUGAAUGCGUUCACCUAUCCGGAUCGGACGUGUUAUCCAGUUGCAUCAACAAACACCAAGGAUUUCUAUAACUUGGUUGAUGUAUACCUUGAUGCUGUAUUUUUCCCUAAGUGUGUUGAGGACUUCCAAACAUUUCAACAGGAAGGUUGGCAUUAUGAGCUUAACAGCCCCGAAGAAGAGAUAUCCUACAAAGGUGUUGUCUUCAACGAGAUGAAAGGAGUCUACUCUCAACCUGAUAACAUAAUGGGCCGUGUGUCUCAACAGGCACUUUCUCCUGAUAACACGUAUGGUGUGGAUAGUGGUGGGGACCCAAAUGAUAUCCCAAAGCUUACUUUCGAAGAAUUCAAGGAGUUCCACAGUAAGUUUUACCAUCCGAGCAAUGCUAGGAUCUGGUUCUACGGUGAUGAUGACACAAAAGAGCGACUACAAAUUCUAAGUGAAUACCUUGACCUGUUUGAAGCCAGCCCUGCUCGUAAUGAAUCAAAGGUUAUGCCUCAGAAACUUUUCAAAGAGCCAGUGAGGAUUGCAGAGAAGUAUCCUGCUGGCCAAGAAGGUGAUUUGAAAAAGAAAUAUAUGGUUUGCACCAACUGGCUGUUGUCAGAGGAGCCACUGGACGUAGAGACAGAGCUUGCACUUGGUUUCCUGGAUCACCUGUUGCUGGGCACUCCCGCUUCACCACUUAGAAGAAUUCUUCUUGAAAGUGGUUUAGGAGAGGCUAUUGUGGGAGGUGGUGUUGAGGAUGAGCUUCUUCAACCCCAAUUCAGUAUAGGCUUGAAAGGUGUAUCUGAGGAUAACAUUGAGAAAGUUGAAGAGCUGGUUAUGCAAAUUUUGAAGAAUUUGGCAGAGGAGGGAUUUGCACCAGAAGCAGUGGAAGCAUCUAUGAACACGAUCGAAUUCUCUCUCAGGGAGAAUAACACGGGAUCAUUUCCUCGAGGGUUGUCACUAAUGCUUCGUUCAAUGGGAAAAUGGAUAUAUGAUAUGGACCCUUUCGAGCCUCUGAAAUAUGAACAGCCAUUGCAGCAACUCAAAGCACGCAUUGCAGAGAAGGGAUCCAAAGCAGUAUUCUCCCCGCUCAUCGAAAAAUAUAUUUUAAACAAUGUGCAUCGUGUCACAGUUGAAAUGCAGCCUGAUCCAGAGAAAGCUUCACGUGAUGAAGCCGCUGAGAAAGAAAUUUUAAAACAAGUAAAGUCUAGCAUGACUCAGGAGGAUCUUGCCGAGUUGGCACGUGCUACAAAGGAGCUGAAGGACAAACAAGAGACUCCAGAUCCUCCAGAAGCUCUGAAAGCUGUUCCUAGCCUGUCGCUACAAGAUAUCCCUAAAAAGCCUAUUCAUGUACCAAUAGAGGUGGGGGAGAUAAACGGUGUCAAGGUCUUGCAACAUGAUCUCUUCACCAAUGAUGUAGUUUACUCCGAAGUUGUAUUUGAUAUGGGUUCUAUGAAGAAAGAACAUCUACAACUGUUGCCUUUGUUCUGCCAAUCCUUACUGGAGAUGGGCACGAAAGACAUGGACUUCGUGCAGCUUAAUCAGUUGAUUGGGAGAAAAACUGGAGGCAUAUCAGUUUACCCAUUAACAUCUUCAAUAAAGGGAACAGAUGAUCCUCUUACUCGUAUUGUCGUUCGGGGAAAAGCAAUGUCAACGCGAGUAGAAGAUUUGUUUCACCUGAUGAACUGUCUUCUUCAAGAUGUUCAGUUCACAGAACAACAGAGGUUCAAGCAGUUUGUUUCCCAAAGUAAAGCAAGAAUGGAGAAUCGAUUGAGGGGUAGUGGCCACGGUAUAGCAGCUGCCAGAAUGGAUGCCAAGUUAAAUGCAGCUGGAUGGAUUUCAGAACAAAUGGGUGGUGUUAGUUAUCUUGAGUAUUUACGAGACCUGGAGACGAGGAUUGAUCAAGAUUGGGACAGAAUAUCUGCAUCACUCGAGGAAAUGAGGAAGUCUCUAUUUUCUAAGGAAGGUUGCUUGAUAAACAUAACCAGCGACUCAAAAAAUCUUGAAAAAUCUGGUCAACAUAUUGCCAAAUUUCUUGAUGCACUGCCAAGUGCCCCAUCCCUGGGAAGUGAUCCAUGGCUCUCUCGACUGCCUUCUGUUAAUGAAGCCAUUGUUAUCCCUACACAGGUUAAUUAUGUUGGAAAAGCUGGAAACCUAUACCAAAGUGGAUACCAGCUUAAUGGAAGUGCCUAUGUCAUAUCCAAGCACAUAAGCAACACAUGGUUAUGGGACCGCGUUCGAGUUAGUGGUGGCGCAUAUGGAGGGUUUUGUGAUUUUGACACUCAUUCAGGGGUCUUUUCCUAUUUGUCAUACCGUGAUCCGAACUUGCUGAAAACACUAGAUGUCUAUGAUGGGACUGCAAAGUUCCUCAGAGAACUAGAGGUAGAUGAUGAUGCUCUCACAAAAGCUAUUAUUGGAACCAUAGGGGAUGUUGAUUCCUACCAGCUACCAGAUGCUAAAGGUUACAGCAGUCUGAUGCGGUAUUUGUUGGGAAUCACUGAGGAGGAACGCCAGCAAAGGCGCGAAGAGAUACUCGCAACCAGCGUGAAGGAUUUCAAGGAGUUUGCCGAUGCUGUCGAAAUGAUCAAUGACAAUGGGGUUGUGGUGGCCGUAGCAUCGCCUGACGACGUCGAGGCAGCAAACAAAGAGAAGUCGUUAUUUUCAGACAUCAAAAAGUGCCUGUGA